rnacentral:rRNA from 1 species
GACGAACGCUGGCGGCGUGCUUAACACAUGCAAGUCGAACGGUGAAGCGCCGUCCUUUUUGGUGGGUGUGGAUGAGUGGCGAACGGGUGAGUAACACGUGAGUAACCUGCCCCCUUCUUCUGGAUAACCGCAUGAAAGUGUGGCUAAUACGGGAUAUUCUGGGUCUGUCGCAUGAUGGGUCUGGGAAAGAUAUUGUUUCGGUGGGGGAUGGGCUCGCGGCCUAUCAGCUUGUUGGUGGGGUGAUGGCCUACCAAGGCGGUGACGGGUAGCCGGCCUGAGAGGGUGCACGGUCACACUGGAACUGAGACACGGCCCAGACUCCUACGGGAGGCAGCAGUGGGGAAUAUUGCACAAUGGGCGCAAGCCUGAUGCAGCGACGCCGCGUGAGGGAUGGAGGCCUUCGGGUUGUGAACCUCUUUCGCCAGUGAAGCAGGCCUGCCUCGUUUGUGGGUGGGUUGACGGUAGCUGGAUAAGAAGCGCCGGCUAACUACGUG